CUCACAUAAUUUUACUCUACGUGGACUAAACAAAAGGAAAACGAUAGUGUUUAAUCAAUGGCUCGAUUUCUUCUUCGUCGUCGUGAUACCGUGGAUCGCUGUUGAAUGCCUUCAGCGCCGUUUAUAUCAGGGUCCGACUCUGUUGCUGAUCCUAGCCAUGGCUCUCUCUACCAAUCUGAGCAGAUCCGAUGAUGAUGUUAGCCCCAUCGAUGGUCGAUCGGUUGUGGUGGAAUUCUUCUUCUUCGAUCCACCAGAAUAUGUUCAUCAGAUCCGACGAUGAUGGGUUUUUUCUUCUUCUACGUUUCGUUCCCACAAAUUGGAAGAGAUCCGAGGGAGAAAAAGAUGAGUGCUCCAGUGAAAGAGGAGAGCUAUUUUUGUGUGGUAGAAAGCUGUGUAACAUUUGUAAUUCUAUAGAUGAUAAGGUAAUAUGUAGAGAACAUAAUUUGUAUUCGAUUUUGUGUGUCACAUUUUGUUUUCAAGGAACUGAGUGUAUUUUAACCGAGUUUUAUCGGCUAAGAUGACAUCAAAAUUAGACCAGUGGCCGAAUUUCAAGUCCUACAUCUUAGGAGACGCAACACAGAAUAUGUUACUUAUGUAAGUUUUCUUCUCACAAUGGUUCCAUAUCUAGGUUUAUUAUGAUUUUCAAAUUAGUAUUUGUUGGUGAAGUUACUUUCGUGUUGUGGACAAGUCAGGCUAGGCCUGUAGCUGUUCAUCAUUUUUUGAAGUUUCUGAUCGUUAGAUAGUUUUAGCCAGAGUUUUGUAUUAGACGUUAUGUUGACGCAGUUAGUAUCUUAUAAUGUAUAUUGUGCUCCUAAAUAUUUUUGUAAUCAUGAACUGGCCAGGAGAAGUUGUUUUCUCCAGUAAUUAAGUAUUGCAUAUGAACUUGCAAA